UUCGGCUGAUCGAAUUCGUUUACGAUACGUCUUCUAAGAGUCAAGUUGUUUGGGAUUGCAGCUUAAAAUGGGAGGUAAAUUUCUCCUAAGGCUAAAUAUUGGCGAGAGACCGAUAGCGAACAAGUACCGUGAGGGAAAGAUGAGAAGCACUUUGAAAAGAGAGUUAAAUAGCACGUGAAAUUGUUGAAAGGGAAACGAUUGAAGCCAGUCGUACCUACGGGUAAUCAACCUUUCGGGAGCGAUUCUGUGGACUUUGGGGAGCUUUACGGCCCUCGGGUUUUCAUAUUCGUACCCCUUGAGUGUACUUUCCCGGUGGUUUGUUAACAUCAAUUUCGGUCGUCAUAAAAUGACGAGAGGAAUGUAGCUUCGACCUCGGUUGAAGUGUUAUAGCCUCUGGUAGAUGUGAUGAUCGGGAUUGAGGAUUGCAACGAAUACCUUAUGGGCUACCUGCCUGAUCUCUGAUGGUUGCUCUGGUGCCGAAAGCGUGCUUACGGUUGUCAAAGUUGACUGUCAAAAGGUUAGAACGGGUUAAAUU
rnacentral:rRNA from 1 species